GGACACGUGACCGACGGCGCGCGCUGAUGACGCGGGGAUCAGGUGAGGGCGGGGAGGGGCCCGGCCCGGGUUUUAAGGAAAAAGGCUAAAAAUCAAAAGGGUUUUAAAUGUUAAACCAAAUGACUCGAAACCUGUCCUGAGGGAGCAGCCAGUGGCGCUCAGGAUCUGCCAGACAGUGUUUAUUUCAGCUGCUGGAGCUGAUCCUGUCUGUGUGACAAACACAGCACAGAAAUGCUUUCAAUCCCACCAAUAUUUGUAUUGAUGUUGGUUUUACCACCUGGACAUCCCUGUCAACAAGGUGAAUAUUUUUUUCCCCUGAGCAGUUUCACACAGGUCCUGAAAUAAGCAGCAUUCCUGGGAUGUGGAAUUGUGUCUUCUGAAGCAGCAGCUGCUACUCAGGAAUGAAAUUCCAAAGCCAAUCCCCCAGGCCCCAAAGGUUGGAGUUUGUUCUCUGGAGUAAUGCACAAACGUGGAACAGAGGGCACCAGGUGCAGAAGCUGCCUCCUCCCAACCCCAAACUACAGCCAUGCAGGAAGGAAUUUCAGAGGUUUAUAUAUAUUUACAUAUGUAUUUAUAGAGGUUUGUAUGGCAGUCUCAUAGCUACAGCAGCUCACUCUCUCCCCCUCCAUCAGUUGAAAAUCCUGGCUGUGCUAUCACCUUGCUGCUGAUGAACAUAUUUCCCUGUGCUUCAGUAGUUUCCAGAGCAAACAUCUUGUUUAGCAUGGCAGUAGUGCACCCAGAAACCUCCUGAAGUGUGGUUUUCAUUUCAAAAUGCCCUGUGUUGCUACAGGAGCUAUCAGUUAACCCAGGAACACGUCUAAGUACCCCAUUUAUCUUCUUUUUAAUGAAAUGGGAUUGAGAAACUGCUCCCUGGAAAUGCCAAUGCAAACUUCUUCAUACAGUAAUUAAAGUAUUUGUGUAAUGGGAUAAAAUCCUCACAGAGACCAAGCUGAUCCAGCCCAGUAUCCUGUUUCCAGAAGGCAUGAGAAGCUCAGCCCUUUCACUGGGUGUUCUCCCAGAUUCCAGUUAUCCAUGAUUUAAGGACUUGGAAGAUGAGGAUGACUCCAAACCAUUUCAUUAAGCACAUGUGGGAAGACCUACACCUCAGGAACAGAAUCCCUUUUAGACCCCUCUUAAUAUUUUGGACUUCAUAGUGUCCUACUUUAGGGAGUCUUUACUUUGCUUUUUGUAUUUGUUGCAUAAUGGUUAUUUCUAGAUAGAAAGGGAGCUACGACACUGGCACAAAGACAUUUAUUUCCAUGUUCCAGUGCAAUACUGACACCUCAUUAAAAGACACAGCACAGCAAUGACAUGAAUCAGCCCCACAAAGACCAUCUCUCAUCUUGGAACCAGUCUUUCUAACCCAAAACAGAAUCAAAGCAACUAUUUAAUAAAUAGACAUAAGAAUAAAGCUGAAAACUGAAAACCACAGGGUUAUCACCCACAAUUCAUUCCAGCAGGAGACUUUGCUUGUGUCAGAUCCUUAGUGCUUUCAGAACCCCUCAAAUUGUUAGGAACAGAAUAUAAAAGAUAAAUUGACAUUCAGUUAAAGAGGAACACAUUCAUUUCCAAACUGAGCCUCUGGUCAUUUCAUUAUACAGGACAGGAGCUACUUUAUUCUAAGAGAUUUUAAGGAAAGUGAAGUCAAGACCUACACUGUACCCUGAGCAGUGUAAUUCAAGUAAUACCAAAGUAGAAUUCCUCACAUUUAUUGUUCACUGCUGAAGUUGGAUGAUUCAUCACAUUUAAAUUCUUUCACAUGAGCUUCCUAACUUCCUUCUUUUAUCUGAUAUCAUCAUAUCUGAAAAGCAUUCAUUUUUGUCCAAAAAAGAAACUGAAUUAUGCUGUGUGGUACCUAACAUGCAAUAAAACAUGCAGAAAACAUGAAGUUAAAAAAAAAAAGGAACAGUCAAUCAUACCAAGAAGCUGAAGCAUUUUUACUACAGAAAAAUAGCAUCUCUAACAAUAUAUUUGUUUCAUGUUUCCUAUUUUUACUUUCUCCCCCUCACCAUCUGCCUCUGUUCUGCUUUUUUCUUUCAAAAAGCAUCCACCUCAUUUCGCUUCACUCACCUCAUCACAGGAUUCAGGCUGAAAUAAAACACAAUCCCCAGUGCCAAAGCCAAAAAAGCACUACCUCUUCAUAAAAGACCUUCCAAAAAUAACUCUCCUUUUUCUUACAGUAGCUGUAGAUCUUUAAGAGAAGCAGUCCAUCUCGAUUCAGUGCUUUGCUGCAAACCCUCUGGGCAAAGAAAUUUGAGCUUUUUGGCCCCUGGUAGCUCUGGAUUGUACCUGUGCCUUCAGUCCUGUUUUUUUUUGGCAAAUCUUCCCCUGUACUUUUGGUAGCCAGCACUGAAUCCCACAAGAGUGAGAUCCCGUAGUGUGGAGAAAGAAGAUGAAUUACAGAAUGUGCAGUACUUGAGCAAGAACUACUCCUUCCAUCAUGGAAGCACCUCAGUAAUGCCCAGGGGGAUUUGCUGUUCUGUGGAGCAGAGUCCCACUGCUUUGCUUAAGACACCCUGCAUGAAAAUAAAACCAUUUUGGGGAGACAAUCCUCAGAAGGAAAUGGUGAGAAAUAGAGACUGUCCAUCUUAGACAUGCGUGCCAUGCAGUGGCCAGGAGAGCCUGGCAGUGCCAGAACCUGCACUGUGCUGUGUGCAGAGGAAACGAAGGAUAAUGAGGAAAAAAUGGAAUAUAAAAAGGUACCAACCUAUGGCAGCACCAUAAUCUGAGUCUGGAGGCAAGUCCCUGCAGGGCCAGAGAGGUCAGAACAAACACUCUGAUUUGUGAGUCAAUCCUCUGCAGCAGCCUUAGUGAAUUUGUUACUGCAGUCAGUGCACGGACUAAGGAAAACUGGGCUCAGCCAGGGCAGAGCCCUGAGCCUCGGGAUGUCCUGGGGGGAACCUGUUCUGUGCAGUGCAACGAGGAGCUGAGCCAGGUCAGACACCCUGCCAAGGCACCCGGUGCCCAUCCUCGUGCCUUCCAGGCCUGCGGGACCUUGGCACGGGAGCAGCAGUAAGGAGUAAAGGACCUGCUGAUAUCCUGGCCGUGUCUCUGGGGGUCCUGGGAGCUGCUGGGGUGCCAGAGGGGGCUCCCAGAAUCACAGAAUCAGUUACACUGGAAAAGCCCCUGAGACAAUCGCGUCCAGCCUGUGACCAAACCCCGCCUUGUCAACCAAACCAUGGCACUGACUGCAAUGUCCAGCGGUUUCUGGAACCUCCAGGGAUGGUGACUCCUCCCUGGGCAGCCCAUUCUGAUGUUUAAUCACUCUUUUAAUGAAGAAAAUCUUCCUGAUGUGCAUCCUAAACCUCCCCCAGUGCCGCUCCCGGUUCCUCCUGCCACAACUGACCCUGCCCUGUCAGGGGAGCGUGCUCACCCCUAAGCUUCCCCUUCCAGGCUUGGAGUGAUGAGAGGGAGAAAAAAAUAUGGAACGCUUCACGAAUUUGCGUGUCAUCCUUGCGCAGGGGCCAUGCUAAUCUUCUCUGUAUCGUUCCAAUUUUAGUAUAUGUGCUGCCGAAGCGAGCACGAAUCUCCUUUUCCACCCGUCGCAAUUUGUACCCAGAGGAUGCGAGUUCCGCAAGGUCAGGGUGACCCGGGAGGGACAAUCCGGCGGUGCCGGUGGGAGGAGCAGGAGCCGUGCACAGCAGCCCGGCCGUACCGAGGGUCUGGCGGGGAGGAGACGGCGGAAAAGGGGGGAACAGACCCCAAAUCCGGCCGAACUCGGGUUAUGCAAAUAGCGCUGCUGUAUGCAAAUGAGCGCAAAGCACUCUGGGACGGGGCGGUACCGGAGCUCCCCACGGGGCCGGUUUGUAUCAACAACCCCGGCGGGUUUCAGAGUCCCGUUCGGCCGUGCGCAGCUGGGAAUGUCACACCUUUCUGUGGUGAAACAUCGGUGGUUUGGGCUUCCAGUAGUUAAUAUUGCUGACCUGGGGCGGUAUGCGGGUGGCUGGAGCCAUUUGUCGCCUCACGGAAUCGCAGAAUCGAUGGGGUUGGAAGGCCCGGCUGGAGAUGACAGCCCCGUGCCGAGGCAGGGUCCCCUGGAGCGGGUGACACAGGGACCCACACCGGUGCAUUGGAAUGGCUGCAGCGCGGGAGACUCCACCGCUGCCUGCACAGCCGUUCCACUGCUCUGCCACCCUCAGUGCGAAGAGAUUCCUCCUCCUGCUGAAGCGAAGCUUCUUGUGUUUCAGUUUAUGACCAUUGCUCCUUACAUAUGUGGAGUGCAUGUCCGGAGGAGGCGGCUGUGGCCAUGGGGCUGCGGGGACGGGCGGGGAGCGAGGCCUGUGAGGCGCUUCUAAGGCGGGGCAGGAGUAACGCUUUACAAGUGCAGCAGAGUGGCGCAGCGGAAGCGUGCUGGGCCCAUAACCCAGAGGUCGAUGGAUCGAAACCAUCCUCUGCUAGCUGAUAUUUUUCUUCUCUCUGCUGGUUGUUUUUGGGUGUGGGGGACACUGGUGUGACUGGUGCGAGCACACUUGUUUUUGCUAAAAUCUUGGCUCAGUGCAGUACAGCUGGUGCGAGGGAAGGACGGACAGAGCGUUGAGCAGUGAGAUGCCUACAGCCUUUCUUCUAGUGACUGUAAUAAAUAGAAUUCAUUCGUGCUAACUAAA